rnacentral:rRNA from 1 species
GACGAACGCUGGCGGCGUGCUUAACACAUGCAAGUCGAACGGAAAGGCCCGCCUUUUCUUGGGUGCUCCAGUGGCGAACGGGUGAGUAACACGUGAGUAACCUGCCCGUGACUCUGGGAUAACUGCUGGAAACCGGGGCUAAUACCGGAUAUUACCUCCUGCAGCAUGGUGGGGGUCGGGAAGUUUCGGCGGUUGGGGAUGGACUCGCGGCUUAUCAGCUUGUUGGUGGGGUAGUGGCUUACCAAGGCUUCGACGGGUAGCCGGCCUGAGAGGGUGACCGGACACACUGGGACUGAGACACGGCCCAGACUCCUACGGGAGGCAGCAGUGGGGAAUAGUGCACAAUGGGCGGAAGCCUGAUGCAGCAACGCCGCGUGCGGGAUGACGGCCUUCGGGUUGUAAACCGCUUUCGCCUGGGACGAAGCGUGAGUGACGGUAAUGGGAGAAGAAGCACCGGCUAACUACGUG